UACGGGGGGGGCAAGCGUUGUUCGGAAUUACUGGGCGUAAAGGGCUCGUAGGUGGCCAACUAAGUCAGACGUGAAAUCCCUCAGCUUAACUGGGGAACUGCGUCUGAUACUGGAUGGCUUGAGUUUGGGAGAGGGAUGCGGAAUUCCAGGUGUAGCGGUGAAAUGCGCAGAUAUCAGGAGGAACACCAAUGGCGAAGGCAGCUCGCUGGGACGGUACUGACGCUGAGACGCGAAAGCGUGGGGAGCAAACAGG
rnacentral:rRNA from 1 species